rnacentral:rRNA from 1 species
GACAGAGGGUGCAAACGUUGCUCGGAAUUACUGGGCGUAAAGCGCGUGUAGGCGGCUAUGCAAGUCGGGCGUGAAAUCCCACGGCUCAACCGUGGAAGUGCACUCGAAACUGCGUAGCUAGAGUCCCGGAGAGGAAGGUGGAAUACUUGGUGUAGAGGUGAAAUUCGUAGAUAUCAAGUGGAACACCGGUGGCGAAGGCGGCCUUCUGGACGGUGACUGACGCUGAGACGCGAAAGCGUGGGGAGCAAACAGG